GAUGAAGAACGUAGUGAAAUGCGAUAAGUAAUGUGAAUUGCAGAAUUCAGUGAAUCAUCGAAUCUUUGAACGCACAUUGCGCCCGCUAGUAUUCUGGCGGGCAUGCCUGUUCGAGCGUCAUUUCAACCAUCAAGCUCCUUAGCUUGUGUUGGGGACCUGCGGCUGCCGCAGCCCCCGAAAUGCAGUGGCGGGCUCGUUGUCACACCGAGUGCAGUAAUCAUUCUUCUCUCCGGGCGUGGCGGCGGGUUCCGGCCGUAAAAUCACCAAUUUAUCAAGGUUGACCUCGGAUCAGGUAGGAAUACCCGCUGAACUUAAGCAUAUCAAUAAGCGGAGGA
rnacentral:misc_RNA from 1 species